rnacentral:misc_RNA from 1 species
GGGCUUUAUAAAGUGAGGCAAAACUAACCAAAAUGGCUUGGGCCAUUUUAGUGAUGAGUAGCCCAAUUCAGCAUGGAGGCCAACCUGUUUGUUGAUCCACACUCCUGGAACCAUGAUUCUCAACAGUUUGGUUGAAGGUAACACGAUGCCUCCAUGUGACUGAGUUUUCACACCAAAAUACAAGAAAAAAAAAUGACAAGGAGCUGAAAAAAUGAGAAUGAAC